UUAAUAGUUCUACAAUCAAUCUAUAAACAAAAUCAACAAUUACACCAAAAUACGUUUAUAAAUAUCAACAAUACAUUUAUAUGAUUAAGUAACUUUAUUUGUAUGACACGAGUUCAAAAAGAUUCAUUCUAACUGUGGAUAAACGAUGUUAAUGACCAACUUCAUAGAACUGUUAAAUAAACCAUAAAUUUCGAAGCGAUAUAUUGUUCUUUUCUAUGAUAACAUAUUUUAAUACAUAAAACUUGAACACACAAAAAUUAAAGUAAUGGUUUUAAAUUUUAAAUUAAGUUAAGAGAUCUAUACAAAACUUUUUUCUUUAAUAAUUCGACGAUCAACAAAUCUGCAUUAUGUUAAUCUACCACUAUAUAAAUACAAUUUAAUAAGCAACUAAUUGAUAAACAAAAAAAGAGAAACAGUUUAAACCCAAUCAAUCCAUUCUCUCUAUGCUUCAUAAGCCAAAGCAAUCAUCUUGAGAUCCACCAACAACCUUGCACAUCAAAUAGGAUAGCAUCAACAGGGUUCAAAUAUGUUUACAUGAAACACUACCACCUCAUUUUGUUUACAUGACUUUCUCUCAUUUUUUACACACACUCCAUUAAUCUCACCCCUACACACUCAUUGAAAAUACCAAGAUUAUCUCUAUUCUAAAAAAAACUCUAAAUUUCAAUUUAUACAAAAAAUGUGAAAACAUUUUACUACAAACAAACUUUAGACCACUUCAACUCUACACUUAAAAGUUACAAUACAUUUCAUCAAUCAAAAACUUUAUAUCAAUCUAAUAUUUUGAUCAAAUGAAUUGUCGCUCUAAUAUCUAUAGUUGAGAUGAUCUAAAAUUUGUCUCUAGUAAAAUAUUUUGACAUCUUUUAUAUGAAUUGACACUAAAGUUUAUUACUAAAAUAGAGAUAACAUUAGUAUUAUCAAUAAGUGUGUGAGAGGAAGAUUAAAUGAGUGUAGGUAAGUAGGGGAGGAAGUCAUGUGAACAAAACCAGGUAGUAGUGUUAUGUGUCUCCAACAAAACAAAACUUAUUUCUGGUGUCAUGUAAAUCUGAUUGAUUUCAAUGAAAAAGAUAAAUGAGAAUGAGGAAAAGAAAAAGAAAAAGAAAAGUUGGUGAAAUUGGGUGGCAAGAAUAUAGGGAAAGAGAAUGGGAAUGAGUAUUGUUGUGAAGGAGGUGAGUGGGAUAUAUAAAGGGAAGAAUGAGUUAGUAAUGUAAUAAGUAAAAGCAAAAAUAUAUUAAUAGACAACCCUUUAAACAUGAGAUAUAUAAAAAAAGUUAUUGUGAAAUUACAAAAAAAAGUAUUAUAGAAUAAAAACACCAACACUCAAAACACCUAAUGACUAUCAUAGAUAUAUAAAAAAAACUAUUAGUCUAUCAAAGAACAAGUAUAGGCCACAUGAAAAUCAUAAAAUUUUAGAUCUGAUUUCAUUACUAACAUUUAUUGCAUGCUUUAAAAAAAGGUGAUUCAACAUUGGAUUCCACUAUGUUGUACUUUUUUCUUUUUCAAACAAUGUAUUGAAAAGUGGCAUUCGACCAAUGAGCAUAACUAUCAUUGAAUUUUCUUAUAUGAAUUUGCACAAGUGUUUUCUUCUCUCUCAUUUCAAUGUUUUCACUCAUUUCUUUCUCAUUUUUCUCGUACAAUUGACAAGGGUUUUGCUCCAUGAUUGAAUAAUAAUGCAAGUUAGGUAUUACUAGUCCAAAAAUUAAGAAUUCACAUGGGUGGGCUAGUUGUUUAGUUGUAUUGGAAACGUUGAAAAUGAAAUGAGUGAUUGUAUGAAUAAUAAAUACUCAUUUAUUAUCUAAUGCUAUAGGAAUAAAAAGUUAAAAGAAUAAAAAUAUUCUCUAUUUCUAAGAUAACUAGAUCCUAUAAUUUUCCAUACAAAUUAAUUAAAAUAAUAAAUAAAAUUAAAAAAUAUUGCAACUUCGUAAAAUUUAUCUUAAUUUUUUAGUCAUUGUCAUAAUUGUAUAAAAUAUAAUAAUUCAAAAAGAUUUUAAUAAUAUUAAGUUGUUUAAUUUGAAAAAAAAGUGACAUACAAGAGUACUCGUUUUGUUACAAAAUUAUAUAACUUUUUUAAUAAAGGAAAAUUAUUAAAUAAAAAAUAAAGAAUAAAAAGAACGAGGGACACAAAAGCUAACCCACUAAAAACUAGCAAAAAUGAUAGUUGACAUGUCUAACCUGUAAUUCAAUUUUUUUUCAAAAACACAAAUAGGAAGUGAAUAUCACAAACUAUCAUAAUCAAUCAAAAAAUUGACAUUGUCAAAUCUAUCUGCAUAUGCAUUUUUCUCUCUAAAAAUGUGAUAUAUUUUGAAUCUAACGAAAUGUACAAUUUGUAAAUUAUUCUUCCAUUUAACUAAAAGAUAUCAAGGGAUAAUAUUCAUGUUAGGAAAUGCAUGAAUGAGCAACAUUGAGCCAAUUUCAAGUCAAAGAUUUCUCUAAUUCCUCCUAUUAGCAUAUUCGAUAGAAAAUAUGAUUCCAUGAAUUUAGUUUGAAUGGUGGUAUGCAGUUUCUACAUCAUUUCAAACAACCGCCCUAUCAAUUUCCCGAAAAGUAAGGUGUUCCUACAUCUAAGAAAUAAGUGUUAUACAAUUUCUACAUCAUAAUUGCAAAGAGAGCACACCAAAACCACAUGUAUUCCUCUUCCAAUUAGGUUGCCAUAUGUUGUAAUGACAUUAUGCAUUAGCUUCCAAUUCACCAAUAACAAAGCAAGAAGUAUGUUGGGAUGUCAAAUAAAUUUUGUCCAAGAACGCUCAAGGUGAUUCCUCAUAAUAAAGUUGUAGACAUCUUUAAAAGAUAAAGCGCCAUUUGCAGAUCCCGUCCAAACAAGUUCAACAACAAUAAUAUUAUCAAAUGACAAGUUAAUCUUCAAAAUAUUUUCAAAAAUUUGACGAGUCAAAAUGGAUAAGCCACGAGGCAUGUUCCAAUUGAUGUCUUGGAUGAUUGAAUUGACAUUAAAAAUUUGCAUAAAUUGAAUAUCCAAUGGCAAUGGUAUGUGUUGAUAUUUUAAUUUUUACUCAUCUUAUUGCCAUUCCAUAAAUGAACGUUUUUCUCAUUACCAACCAUUUAUUAUGUUCCUCCAUAAAGGAAAAUGAAUCCUAAAUGUCAGACUUUAUUGAAGAACAAAUAUGAUGCACGAUUGGUUUUUUGUUCAUGAAGUAUCUAAUAAUAAACUAAUAAAGUCAUUGAUUAUUGGUAGUUAACAACUUCCAAUAAAGAUAUAAACAACAAUUUUUUUAUUCUCUUAAUAUCUCUUAGCCCAAGAUCUCCAUCAGACAAAAAUGAGCAAAUAACUUUCCAAGAUCUAGUAAUCAACUUUUUAUUGUCUAUGCUUUCUUUCCACACAAAUAUUUUAAUGCAAGAAUCAAGUUUGUUAAGAAGAUUGAUUAAUAAUUCAUAAAUAUUGAGACUAUACAAAGUCAUGCCUUGUAUGACUGACUGAUAAAAAGCUCACAACUACUAUUUCAAAUUUAUUAAUGUAGCGAUUCACAAUGUUUUGGCAAUAAUUUUUUGUUUUUCUGUAAGAGAAAUGAAGGGCAUACUCAAUCAUAUUUAUAAAAGGCUAGUAGACCUUAUGGCAAAGACGAUAAAUUAGAAAUCAUGACCAAUCAUAAGCAUGUUGGCCAAUUAUGAGCAUGACACGUAGCAGUUUGCAUCCAUGCAUAGUAUAUGUCAAAUUUUAUAUUUGUAUCGUUGUAUGAUAACAUUUUGAUCACUCAUCACUACCUAGAUUGCACACAGGACCGUCCCAAUCAAUUUGGAGGCCCUGUUCUAUUUUAAAUUAGAUAUUUAAUAGAUGAAAACACAACAAAUUAAAAAAAACAUAUUUUAUUUAAUUGUAAACAAAAUUAAAUAUAUAGAGACAAAGAUGAUA
rnacentral:lncRNA from 1 species